AUAUUCUUUUUCUCUCCCUCCCCCUGCAGGCUCUCUCCCAAAAGAGGACUCUCUUGAAAUAAAUUGGGAAUAAACGCGGGCCAGGCAGCAGCAGGAAUUAUUUUGCUCAGGGCUCCGUGCGUAGACUUCAAGACUUUCCUCGAAAUUAUUGGGGUCUGCCAGUAUUUUUUUUCUGGGGAGGUGGGUGAUGCGCUAAGUACUGGAUUCUCAGAACUGGACGCCCCAAGGAGAAAAGUCAAACUGGGAACAAGGAGAAGAGAAGCCGGCGCAGGGCUGGGAGAGGCUCUGCUAGGAGUCCCGAGAACGUAGGGCGGAGGUAGCCCGAGCUUUCUGCAGACCCAGCCUAGAGAUUUUCGCUGUCAGAGGUGGACGCCCGGACGGAGGACAGGAAAUGCUUGCAUUUUGUCACUUUGGGUCUGGACGCCCCCACCUCCACGUCCCGGCAGCUCCAGCCCCAGCCCUGGCGCCCCGCACGAAGUGAGAGAGGAAGGGAGGGAACAAUGAGCUGGGCUCUGGGAAUGUGCCCCCAGCGCCUGUUUACAAACACCAAGCUAUUUAUGAUCGCCGGAAAGCGAAACCCGACGCGGGCUCCCAGCAGUCAGACCUCGCAGGCGGGCGGGCGGAGCCCGGUCCGAGAGCCGCAGGGAAAGAGGCUCCUUCCCUAACCCGCUGCUAGGGAGGCAGCCGUGCGCCCAGGGCGCGGCGCGAUGCGGCCGGAGCGCUGGGUUCAGGCUGCGGCCUCGGCGCCUUUGUCUUCGAGGCGCCAAGGGGCUUCAGCCUUGGCCUCGCCGGAGUCUGGAGGGUCUCUGCGCCCCCCCGGUCUUCCUCCGGCGACGCCCGGCGCUUUUCUCCCCAGACUUCUAUCCCCAUACUCCGCUUUUCUGUUCCUGACUCUGCUCGGCAACAACUCCUUAUGCCAGAGAAAAAAAGAAACCCAGUUCGGGAGCUGAGAUUUCAGACAAAAGCUGCCCGUACCUAACAACUCAGAGUCUCCAAGCCAGCCACCGAUUUCAACUUUCUCCCCGUAAAUAUCUAUUCUCGGGGCUUACAUGUUUCCCUUCUUUUUAUUCUCCCAUCCUAAGUUAGCCCUUUAAUAUUAUAUUUAGUGGAGUUAUUUUCCUCUUUAUUUUUCUGCCCGCCUGGCUUGGGUCUGCCCAGGCGCCUCAGCGCAAGCAGCUGGAAAGCUCACAUCCCAGGCAGGGCUCGCAGCUCGCUCGGCUCGGAGAAGAUUUUCUCCCCCUCCCUCCAGCUGAAACCUCGCAGAAAACUCCCCCUGCGGUCGACUGGAAAAUGAGCUCACCCAAAUCUCGGUAGGCAGCCGUGGAGGAGGGCUCGGCCAAUCAGGAGACGCCCCCGCCCAGGCGGCCUCGCAUUGGCUGCGGGGAAAAUCAAUUAUCAAAUAAUCGAUCAGCAGGGAGCUUCGAUCUGCCGGGAAUGCAAACUGCCAGUCCGGAUUCCCGCCCUGAUGGUGGCCAAAAGGCUGACUCUCUCAAAGCUGCCGGCCCGCGCUCUCAUGCCCUCCCCCCCAUCCCACCCGGCCAGCUGCGGACCAAACCCUCACCCCCGAGGGGGGAUAGCUGGUGGAAGAGUUUUGGAAAAGAUUAGGGGCCCCCUUCAUGCGGACGUUGUUUGGAAAAGGUUAGCUCACAGAUGCAGUGAAGCCAACUCUUAGACGCAAAGUAAGAAAGAGCAUUUGCAUCCGUCCGCGCAAUAGAACUCAAGUUUCCGUUGAGUGGGCUUGUGAGGAGCAGGGGACCCGGGCGAUCAUCAGAACGUAGAGCAGCAUUCUGUUCCACCGAGCCCUAGUAGUCUCCCUAAGCGACGUCCAUGGCUUCUUCCAGCGCUCCGCAGGGGCCAGCGCAGGGUUGAUUCAUCCCAACCGUGGAGCGUUCGCGGAAAGCCAAGCAGAUGAGCCUUCCCAGCCUCCCCGCCCCCAACACUGAACUUGCUCCUUGUAUGCCUGAAGGGUCGACACGCGUUCACCCCAAACCUUCAGGUGCGCUUUGAGUUAGAAGAGCUCAACGAUUAAAACAGAAAAAUCCCCCAGGAGCUCUUAGCACUUACCUGUCUUUGCUUUCUUCUUUCUUAAUUUUUAGUUUCUGUCUCCAGUACUCAAAUUUUAGGUUCAUCACAUGAAAAUGUACUGUUUGGUGACACAGUUACCCUGAUACAUCGCUUGGGAGGUUGAGGCAGGCCUGAGAUUGAAAGUCAGCAGUGGGGAAAGCCAGGUGAGUUAUCAGAGCCAAAGCCCAGGUCUGAUACCGCCCCCCCCCCACCACCACCAAGUGAAUUUGAAAGCAGAAUUUCAAGCCGAGAUGGAGCCUUGUGAAUUCAGAAAAGAGAUUUUUUUGUUCAAUUUUGCGAAGCUGAGCUGGCUAGGCCAGGCAGCGCAAUACUUUUCCGAGCAUGGGGAGGACUGCGCUGGGCCGGCGGCAGCGAGCUGUUGCCCAGCUCCGGAGGGCUGGGGCCACACCUGAGAGCUCCGAGGCCGCUCCAGGGGGUGGGAGCGAGGUCCCCCAGCAGGCCUGCCAGGGAUCAGCGCUGCUGGGGGGAGGAGGAUGGGGGUCCAAGCAGACUUCCACCAGGGCACGUCUACGUUUGAGGUCCUUAAGUGAGCUACGAAGGAAAUUAUAUCCAAUACUGGCUGACCUGCUGAAUAAAAGAACAACACACUCCAAACCUCAUCAAACACCCUUGGUGAAUUGUUAAGCAUUUGAAGACUUGAUCUUUUGUGCCGUCUACUGGACAAUGGAAAAACUGCAGCCUAGAUGGCAAACUUUUCCCUUGACCGGUGUUUAACAAUGGAGGGGGAGGGGUAAAGGGAGAGAGGUAGAGGGGUGAUUGGGUGCUGGCAUAAGACCUAAGUGAGCCUCUCAGAACAGGGCUUUCGAUCUAAUCGCAUUUUUUUGUGGCUCAAAUUGAAGGGAAGACAUUAUGUCUUCUCUCAACCCACUUGACUAAGGUUAGGUUAAGAUCCACAUUCAGGACAGCUGUGUGUGUAUACAUGUACAAUAGUUUAGGAGAAAAAAAGAAAAAGUGGACAGGCUUAGCAUUCUGAGAAAUAACUUGAAGUUUCUUUUUUUUUCUCCUUCUCCUCCUCCUCUUCCUCCUCCUCUUCGUUCCUUUCCUUCUCCUCCUCCUCUUUCUCUUUCUCCUUCUGUUCCUUCUUGCUUUCUGAAAGGAUCUUGCUAUGUAGUGUGGGCUGGCCGUGAGUUCACUAUGUAGCCCAGGCUGGCCUCAAACUCAUGGUAAUCCUCCUGUCUCAGCCUCUCAAGUGCUGGGAUUACAGGCAUGCACACCUGGCAGCAUUCUGAAAAAUAAAAUGUGGGUAGUGGCUUGAUUUUGAGUAUAAAGUUGCUUGACGUGUAUUUACUACCUGGAUAACGGUGGAUGUAGAAAUUAAUUCUUGGGAUUUGGAAAGUGACAUUACGAAGUACUUGAGAAAAUAAGUUUUGGGAGAGGGAGUGAAACUGUUAGUCAAAACCAUGUUAGUGCAGUUCCCUUUCUGGCAAUUGUGGAUGAAAAUGUGAAACUUAAAGUGUUUUUCACUGGGAAAGCAUAAAUGGGGGAAAGUGUGGGUAACAGUCACAGUUGAAUGCCAUUAAAUUGCAGAGGCUGUUUGAUGUUCUUGUAAGCAUUAAAAAUACUGUAUACAUUUUGGUUAUGACUUUAAAAAUACUUAUGAAGCCCAUCAUUGUGGAAUCUUUGGAGUGGGAAAGAAACCACGAAUCUAACUCUGACCUCCAUUUGAUACUGACAUAGUUUUUGAAGUAAUUUCAAUGAGUAGAGAGAAGCAAUUCUGUUAAGAAAGCCAUAUAUAUAUGAAGUCAAACUGAUUUUGGUAAAAUAGGCACAAGACUUUGGUACAAGAGCUAUUAAUGUUGUUUCUGCUUUUCUGAACUUAAAAUUCUGUAUGACAUUUUAAUAAAACCUAGAAUAUGUGAGUGCCUAUUAGGGUGCCUAUUAUGAAAACCCAAUAGUGAAAAAGACAGCUUCAGUAUGUUUUAUUGAGGCAUAAAUAUAUUUCAGUGGUGUUCUUCAAACAUACAUUGUCAUGGAGUAUGAUGUCAAAGUGAUUUUAAGUCUUGAAUUAAGUGUAGAUACCCUGAGGAACCUGGGCUGACAUUCACUACUCACAGCAUGGCAAGCUCAGGAUGGUUUCAGUUCAUUUUUGCAGACAUGGGAGGGUCGGCAUCUUAGAAACUUUAGCAUGAGCAACUGAACUGUGAAUCAUUAUUAUUUUGUGAGCUUCUAUUUGAUCCAGAUUUUAAAACAAAAAGCCCCCAUGACAAUAGCUGCAAAGCAGAAAAGUCUUCCAGGAACUGACCACAAGUGAACAGAGCUUAUGCCGCGUAUUCUAAGCUAAUAAUGGGAGCACAGGACUGAGCACUGGAAGACGUCUGGCAGCCUGCUCUAGUCACCCACUGCAAACAUUUACCUUUGAAGCAACUGGAUAAGCCAGAUUGGUCAUGGUUCGCCUCCAUGUUCGCCUUGAUAAAGGGGCGCAAUUUGUGAAACCUUCAGGCAAAAAUCCAGUGAUUAUUCAAAACUAAAUAUUUUAACAUUUCAUUGAGUUAGCUAAUGAAUAAGAAAAACAUCGAAGGCUUCCUGCAGCUCACAAAGAAUUCUAGCGGCAGAAAAUACAAGGCGGGAAGACCCAGAAACCGAAGGACGCCUGCUGAGCAGUUAUUGACUUGUGAAUAUCUGAAAAUGUACUCUUCUGUGCCCUUAUUUAAAAAUGAAAAAUAAAUACCAUCUUUCCUUGUC